CACUCCUACGGGAGGCAGCAGUGGGGAAUUUUGGACAAUGGGCGAAAGCCUGAUCCAGCAAUGCCGCGUGAGUGAAGAAGGCCUUCGGGUUGUAAAGCUCUUUUGUCAGGGAAGAAACGGUGAAAGCUAAUAUCUUUUGCUAAUGACGGUACCUGAAGAAUAAGCACCGGCUAACUACGUGCCAGCAGCCGCGGUAAUACGUAGGGUGCAAGCGUUAAUCGGAAUUACUGGGCGUAAAGCGUGCGCAGGCGGUUUUGUAAGUCUGAUGUGAAAUCCCCGGGCUCAACCUGGGAAUUGCAUUGGAGACUGCAAGGCUAGAAUCUGGCAGAGGGGGGUAGAAUUCCACGUGUAGCAGUGAAAUGCGUAGAUAUGUGGAGGAACACCGAUGGCGAAGGCAGCCCCCUGGGUCAAGAUUGACGCUCAUGCACGAAAGCGUGGGGAGCAAACAGGAUUAGAUACCCCAGUAGUCCCAUGAU
rnacentral:rRNA from 1 species